rnacentral:rRNA from 1 species
AUACGUAGGGGGCAAGCGUUAUCCGGAUUUACUGGGUGUAAAGGGAGCGCAGGCGGUCCUGCAAGUCUGGUGUGAAAGCCCGGGGCUCAACCCCGGGACUGCAUUGGAAACUGUGGGACUUGAGUGUCGGAGGGGCAAGUGGAAUUCCUAGUGUAGCGGUGAAAUGCGUAGAUAUUAGGAGGAACACCAGUGGCGAAGGCGGCUUGCUGGACGACAACUGACGCUGAGGCUCGAAAGCGUGGGGAGC